UACGUAGGUGGCAAGCGUUAUCCGGAUUUAUUGGGCGUAAAGGGAACGCAGGCGGUCUUUUAAGUCUGAUGUGAAAGCCUUCGGCUUAACCGGAGUAGUGCAUUGGAAACUGGGAGACUUGAGUGCAGAAGAGGAGAGUGGAACUCCAUGUGUAGCGGUGAAAUGCGUAGAUAUAUGGAAGAACACCAGUGGCGAAAGCGGCUCUCUGGUCUGUAACUGACGCUGAGGUUCGAAAGCGUGGGUAGCGAGCAGG
rnacentral:rRNA from 1 species